rnacentral:rRNA from 1 species
UGAGUAACCUGCCCUUAACUCUGGGAUAAGCCUGGGAAACUGGGUCUAAUACCGGAUAUGACUCCUCAUCGCAUGGUGGGGGGUGGAAAGCUUUAUUGUGGUUUUGGAUGGACUCGCGGCCUAUCAGCUUGUUGGUGAGGUAAUGGCUCACCAAGGCGACGACGGGUAGCCGGCCUGAGAGGGUGACCGGCCACACUGGGACUGAGACACGGCCCAGACUUCUACGGUAGGCAG